rnacentral:rRNA from 1 species
CAGUCGCCGCGGUAAUACAGAGGGUGCAAGCGUUAAUCGGAAUUACUGGGCGUAAAGCGCGCGUAGGUGGUUUGUUAAGUUGGAUGUGAAAUCCCCGGGCUCAACCUGGGAGCUGCAUUCAAAACUGACUGACUAGAGUAUGGUAGAGGGUGGUGGAAUUACCUGUGUAGCGGUGAAAUGCGUAGAUAUAGGGAGGAACACCAGUGGCGAAGGCGACCACCUGGACUAAUACUGACACUGAGGUGCGAAAGCGUGGGGAGCAAACAGGAUUAGAUACCCCUGUAGUCCCUGUCUCUUAUAC